GCAGCCUCCCCUGCUGAGCAGGGGACAUGGGGCUCGAUCCCAGGAUCCUGAGAUUAUGACCUGAGCAGAAAGCAGGUGCUUAACCGACUGAGCCACCCAGGGGCCCCUGAAACCAUUUCUUUUCUAAGUAUCUUCUGCACACACCUAACUAAUGAGGGUUUGUUUGGGGUGACAGAAAGGGAUAAGAAUGCCAGUUUGAGGAUUUAAAAAAAACAGUUAUUUUAUCCUGAUACAAUACAACGUGAAAGAAUCCUUUGGGGGAUGGGGAAAGCAAGGGGCCUAUGUGGAGAAUUUUGUGGGCUGGAGUGUGUCCUUUACAUAUACCUUUUAUAGGCACACAGGUGCACACUUGUGAUGUUGGGUAAGACUGUUAGGGGAAGGCAAAGGGAGCAGAGAGAGAUGAACAAAUGGAAAUUUCUGGAGGUCAGGGAUUUGGUGCCAGGUCCCUUGGCCUGGCACCUGAUGCCACAUGUAAGACUGAGGAGGGCCACAGUAAACAUUUGGUAGGUUCACUUUAACUCAACCCCUGUAAAGCUGGAAGGCCCUGAGAAUUUGGAGAGCUCCACCUGCUGCUGCUUGGCCAUUUGAUUUUCCUUCCUUUCUUCAUAGAGCCACUGCUGCCCCCUUCUGGGGUUGGUAGGUAUUUCUGGGCGGCACACUUUCUAACGGGCUCCGCGGUGUCCUACAGGUUGAUAAGCUUGGUGCUCCGAGUCUCCCAACUCUCCAGGCCUGGAUGGAGUCUGGACAGACCCAGGUCCCUUGUGCUCUGAGGGAAGCCUUGUUCCUGGAGAUAAUAUAUAUCUUGGAGGAUUUGCAGAGUAUUUGGCUUUAGCGGGGCUGGAGUUGAAAAAGGGAUUAUUCUGUUUGGAUAGCUGUGGUAGAAAGAUGCCUACGUUGGGAGUCAAGAGAACUGGAAUCCAGGCCAACCCUGAGCGUUGAGCUUGGGCUUUCUGAGCCUCAUUUCCCUUUUCUGUAAAAUGGGAGGCUAGGCCAGGCCAGUUGUGUUCCGGAGAGGGUGAGGGGCUUUAGCUGGGAUGGCCUCGGCCUCACUGCCCGGCAGCUCCACUUGGAGCGGUUUUAUUUAUGGGGAGUUGAAGAUGAGUUUGCAGGAAACAAAUGUCCUCAAGAGUCUGAGAGCCACUGCACUACGUGAUCUCUGGGAUCUGUCCAGGUCUAAUGGUGUGAUUUUAUGAACUUAGAAUUGAAUCACAGACUUGAGAGCUGAAGUCAUGGUGCCAAACACUGACUGCUCCAUACGUGCUGUGGUGUUUUGCAGGCGGACAGUCCGGAAGACAUGCACAGCUGGAUCAAGGAGAUCGGGGCCGCUGUCCAGGCCCUCAAGUGCCACCCCAGAGAUAUGUCCUUUUCUAGAUCCAUCUCUUUGACUCGCUCUGGAAGCUCCAGCCUCUCAGGGGGGCCCAACUCUGUCCUGUGCAGGGGGCGGCUACCUGUGGAAGAGAAAAAAGCUCUAUGCAAAGCUCCCUCUGUGGCUUCCUCCUGGCAACCCUGGACCCCAGUCCCCCAGGCGGGGGACAAGGUGCUUCCAGCUGAAGAGACUCCCGGGGACUCUUUGUUCAUGCCUCGACUUGGGGAGAGUAGUACUUCUGGGGUGCUGCCCAGCUCCCGGAUAAGGCACAGGUCGGAGCCCCAGCACCCCAAGGAGAAACCAUUUCUGUUCAGCCUUGAUGACGAGAGCAUACGGACUUCUGAUGUGUGAUAGGGCAUAGUGACCUGGGAGGGGGGAGGACUCAAGAAAAGGAGGCCAUGACUCAGUUUCCCUACGUUUUGGAUGACCGUCAGAGACCCUCUGGCACUCAUAUUCCUGUGGAUGCUCUGUGGGAGGGGCCCAUCCAGCAGGCCUGUUUGGUGUUUUUUUUUUUUUUUUUUCAAUAUCAAUGCAGUGUAUUUAACUUGGAAACUCACUACGUUAGACCUGUAGGCACACUCAGUGGAGAGCACGUUGCCUCUGCUUUGACUGCCUUAAGGUUUUCUUGGUGAGAGGAGGUUGGGAGUGCAAUUUCAUUCCUAACCAAGUUUUAUUUCCUUGUCCUAGUUGUAGUUUCUUCCUUUAUGUUCCAGGCCAGGCACAGAAUCUUGGGCCAGUCAUCUGGUUUAUCCAAUUCCUAUUUAUUGGCUGAGGUCUGACUGUGAAGUAGGAAGGUGGUAACUAACCCAGCUGGCUUGCCUGGGUUACAUUCUGAAAAGAGGCGUUAAAAUCUGGGGGCUGGCAGGUAGCUCUCAGAAUGUCUAGGAGGCUAGAUCCUCCCAGGGGACCUCCAUAGGGGAAUAGGGAUCUCGUGUAAGGUAUGGGGAAACAUUCAACCUCAGUGUAUUAGCCAAUUUUGGGAAUUAUUCUGUUCUUGUCUAUGACCCCAAAUAAUGUCAACGUCAGUGAUAGACCUGCCCACCCAGUUUCUGUGUCAGGCCCUGGGGAUGGGUUUAUCAGUGUUAAAAGUUAUGACUGUUGAGAAUAGAGCAGACAUUUCCAUUGCUAUGGUGUUAUUUGGAAGUUCAGAGGGUUGAUAAGUGUAGGAUAAUUCCCUUGUGUGAGAGAUCAGAUCUCUAUUUUAGAAUGUUAGAAUUGCUUUAGAGCAGGGGCUGGGAAAAGACGGACAUCCAGAUAAACUUCAUCCAGAUAAACUUUCCUGAUCCGUGUUUUCCAGACAGAAGAAAAGGUCAGUUUUAGCACAGAUUUCUUGAAUCCUUACUUCAUAGCUCUCUUCAAUGGGCUGAUAUUAGUCUAAUUUUAAGUGCUGUAUAUUAUAUACCCUGGCAGAUUUGCUUUCUACUUUUUCUGUUGCCCUUUGAAUGAAGCCUUGUGUAUUUGCAUGAUCAAACCUUAUAACCUGGUAAGGUUCCAUGUACUUAACAGUGAAGAGAUACAAGGAUAGUCUUGAGAGGUAUUUAUAUUUUUAAUAAAAUAGAAACUCUGCAUAGUAACAUUGAUUUAGAGGCUGCAUUGCUGACUCAAGAUUUCCCAAGUAGAAGAGCAUAGGUUGCAUUUCCCACCCAGAUUCUUCGGUGUACCUUCUUUCAUUUGACAAGAAGGGUCCCUGGGAGAAUUUGUCCAACUUAUGUGGUGAACUGCUAACUUAUCAGGGUUCCCUAAAGGGAGAGAAAAACUAAUUUCUGUCUAUGCCUUUUUUCAGCUAGAUCAGUUAAUUACCUUUAAAUUAAAAAUUAAUGACUAGAGGUAGAUACCGAGAGAUGCAUUUUUACCUAAGUCCGUCCCUUCCCCUUCCUUAUGUCCAGACCUAAUACAGAGGCAGAAACGUGUCAUCAGAAAUCCUUAGGGGCUUGAGGGGAAUCUAUGUUCCUUCCAGGCAGUGUAAUUCCCUUGAAGUCUAUGUCAUGUUGAGAACUUUUCUUGACUGCACUGCAUUGGAGCUAUUCUUUACUUAAAUUGUUUGGCCUAGUGGUCCUGGUAGAAAAAAAGACAUCUAGUACUGGAUAACUCUCUCUCUCUCUCUCUCUCCUCUUUUUUGCAGACUCUUGUAGACUGUUGUCCUCAGAAAUCAGUGGUCUGGGAGUUAUUUAGGAGUGACUGAGGUUACAGCUUCAAGUAGCCUGAUAAGUAGUCAUUUUAGAUCCUUAAAGCUCCUUGUCUCUGGUUUCAUCUUCAGAUUUUCCUCAAGAAAAUUCUUUGGCUAGGUCAAAGAAAGUACACAAUAAGUGAUAUUGCACUAACAAAAAUAAGUUAGGAAAUUUUGAGAUCCCUUUAAACAUUCCCUUACUCAUGCAAGCUGUCAUUUUUCGUGUUUAAGCUGUGAAAAUGCACCCAUUUCUCUUUUGUUAAAUAAACUCUCUGCUAGAAUACUACUGCUAAAUUAAUUGGCUGUUAGAGUAAGCUAAUAUGUUUCUUACUUCAGUAGGCUCUAUUUUAAGAAUGUGUUAAACAUACUUAUACAUCUAGAUUAUAUUAUUAUGAUAGAGAAAAACAAGGACUCUAGUUGGCAUAUACUUGGGAAUACCAAGUGGGAAUAUUGUUAAUGUAGUUCCAACACCAGAUAAAUAGAAUUAUCUUCAGCAAAGUCUAUAAGGAUUCUCAUUCCCAAACCUUAUUUCAGAAUUCCUUUUGUGUCCAUAUUUCUUACCUUCUGGCCAAUUUCACAUCACAACUUUUUAAUGUCACUACAUAUGUGAGCCAAAGAUAGUGCAUAUAUAGUCAAAAGCAUUUGGUUUUAAAUGUAUAUGGAACCAGAUGGAAAAAAAACAGGGCAGGAUGCAGUACAGGUUAGUAGUUAAAUGUAUAGGCUCUGGAAUAAAUCUGAGGUAAAAAAAAAAAAAAAAGGAACCAAAAAUGUACUGCAUUUUCUUUGUGGAAUAAAAACCCUCUUGAGUUGUGCUGUUUUCAUAAGACUAUUGAAGUGGUCUUGACUCAGUUUGUGUAACAGUAUUACAGGUGGUCUUCUCUAUAAUUGAACUAUUUACCAUCCACUAUUCUUGAGAGCUUAAGGAUUUGCUUACUCAAGGUCAGUUGGUGGUUGGUAAACAUUGUUUGACCUUUUGCAUCCUGUGAGACACCAUAAAGCUACUAAGGUGUAGAGUAGACUCAGCUCAAAAUAUUGGAGGUUAUACAUUUAUUUCUGAAUAGAAUGCUGACCUCACUCACAUGAGAAAGAACAGAGGUAAGGUCCAGCUUUGUAGUUCAUAUGAAGCAAAAGGGUUUUUUUCCCCUUGCUGAAUAUAACUGUGCUCUCAUAUGGGCUCAAAGGACCUAAAUAGAUUCAAUAGUUGAGCGGUGGAAUUUGAUGUUUGUUUUCACUGUUGACCAGUAACACCAUUUUGGAAAUUGAGUUUCCCAAAUGAGCUUUGUUUGUAAACUUUGAACAUGUCAAAAAUGGACAGUUUAGUAAAUCCUUUCUACCAACAUCACUUUUUUUUUCUUACUCCUUUUUUCUCUAUGUUAUUGCCUGCAGCAGUUACAGUCACUCAUGCUAAGUAGAAUUUGAAUAAAGCUAAUAUUAGCAAAAAUAUACUGUUUGACCUCUUUCCCCACUGCUUAUGAAGGUGUGGCAUGAUUUUGUGUUUUGAACCAGUAUGUUUCAGCUGUGAAAUGCACUCACUGUAAGCACUGAGCUUGAGUGCAUGGAAACUGUUAUGCUUCUCAUUUUAUGUGAUCGCCUAAUUGGUAUGUAGCAAAAUAUAAUUUUCUAAAACUGUUUUGUUGCUUGUUUUGUAAUAAAACCAUGUGAAAUACUGAAA